rnacentral:rRNA from 1 species
AGGUUAAGCUAGAAAGGGCGCACGGUGGAUGCCUUGGCACUAGGAGCCGAUGAAGGACGGGGCAAACGCCGAAACGCUUCGGGGAGCUGUAAGCAAGCGUUGAUCCGGAGAUGUCCGAAUGGGGGAACCCACUGUCCGUAAUGGGGCAGUAUCCAUGCCUGAAUC